rnacentral:rRNA from 1 species
CGAUAGCGUAUAUUAAAGUUGUUGCAGUUAAAAAGCUCGUAGUUGGAUUUCUGAUCGAGACAUCAGGUCGGGUCCGAGAGGAUCAUGUACUUUGAUUUGUUUUGAUCAUCCUUGGGGAGAGCAUUUCUGGCAUUCAGUUGUCGGGAUUGGGAUCCUCAUCGUUUACUGUGAAAAAAUUAGAGUGUUCAAAGCAGGCCUCGGCCUCUGAAUACAUUAGCAUGGAAUAAUAAGAUAGGACUUUGGUGGUCUAUUUUGUUGGUUUGCACGCCAAAGUAAUGAUUAAUAGGGAUAGUUGGGGGUAUUCGUAUUCAAUUGUCAGAGGUGAAAUUCUUGGAUUUAUGGAAGACGAACUACUGCGAAAGCAUUUACCAAGGAUGUUUUCAUUAA